rnacentral:siRNA from 1 species
GAAAUCGAUCGUGCCUCGAAGUU